AGAGUUUGAUCCUGGCUCAGGAUGAACGCUAGCUACAGGCUUAACACAUGCAAGUCGAGGGGCAGCAUGGUCUUAGCUUGCUAAGGCCGAUGGCGACCGGCGCACGGGUGAGUAACACGUAUCCAACCUGCCGUCUACUCUUGGACAGCCUUCUGAAAGGAAGAUUAAUACAAGAUGGCAUCAUGAGUCCACAUGUUCACAUGAUUAAAGGUAUUCCGGUAGACGAUGGGGAUGCGUUCCAUUAGAUAGUAGGCGGGGUAACGGCCCACCUAGGCAACGAUCAGUAGGGGUUCUGAGAGGAAGGUCCCCCACAUUGGAACUGAGACACGGUCCAAACUCCUACGGGAGGCAGCA
rnacentral:rRNA from 1 species